rnacentral:rRNA from 1 species
GACGAACCGUGCGAACGUUGUUCGGAUUCACUGGGCUUAAAGGGCGCGUAGGCGGACUCGCCAGUCUGUGGUGAAAGCCCCCAGCUUAACUGGGGAAGUGCCGUGGAUACUGCGAGUCUGGAGGAGGGUAGGGGCAUCUGGAACGCUGGGUGGAGCGGUGAAAUGCGUUGAUAUCCAGCGGAACUCCGGUGGCGAAGGCGGCUCACUGGACGACUGUUGACGCUGAGGUGCGAAAGCGUGGGGAGCAAACAGG